UGGGGAAUCUUGCGCAAUGGCCGAAAGGCUGACGCAGCGACGCCGCGUGGAGGAUGACGCCCUUCGGGGUGUAAACUCCUGUUGCCCGGGACGAAUACCCGUUUCGACGGGGGUGACGGUACCAGGUGAGGAAGCACCGGCUAACUCUGUGCCAGCAGCCGCGGUAAUACAGAGGGUGCGAGCGUUGUCCGGAAUCACUGGGCGUAAAGGGCGCGUAGGCGGCUGGGUAAGCGUGUGGUGAAAGCCCGGGGCUCAACCCCGGGUCGGCCAUGCGAGCUGUCCAGCUUGAGCACGGUAGAGGCACAUGGAAUUCCGGGUGUAGCGGUGGAAUGCGUAGAGAUCCGGAAGAACACCGGUGGCGAAGGCGGUGUGCUGGGCCGUGGCUGACGCUGAGGCGCGACAGCGUGGGGAGCAAACA
rnacentral:rRNA from 1 species